rnacentral:rRNA from 1 species
GGCCAGCAGCCGCGGUAAUACGUAGGGCGCAAGCGUUGUCCGGAUUCACUGGGUGUAAAGGGUGCGCAGGCGGGAAGGCAAGUCAGAGGUGAAAUCUCACGGCUCAACCGUGAAACUGCCUUUGAUACUGCUUUUCUUGAGUCAGGGAGAGGUUGAUGGAAUUCCAGGUGUAGCGGUGAAAUGCGUAGAUAUCUGGAAGAACACCGGUGGCGAAGGCGGUCAACUGGCCCUGAACUGACGCUGAGGCACGAAAGCGUGGGGAUCAAACAGGAUUAGAUACCCUGGUAGUCCACGCCCUAAACGAUGAAUACUUGGUGUUGGCCUUAUUUGGUCAGUGCCGAAGGAAACCUGAUAAGUAUUCCACCUGGGGAGUACGCUCGCAAGGGUGAAACUCAAAGGAAUUGACGGGGGCCCGCACAAGU